CCGUAGGUGACCUGCGGAAGGAUCAUUAUCGAAUUGGCUUGGACUGUGCUGGCUUCUGCAUGUGCACGUCCAUCUUCAUCCAAUACACCUGUGCAUCUUUGACUUUGAGCCCUCGGGCAAGAAGUAUUACUACACCCUUUGAUUAUGUAUGUGAUAAAUUAUGGCGCUUUGCGUCGAUUAUAAAACAACUUUCAACAACGGAUCUCUUGGCUCUCGCAUCGAUGAAGAACGCAGCGAAAUGCGAUAAGUAAUGUGAAUUGCAGAAUUCAGUGAAUCAUCGAAUCUUUGAACGCACCUUGCACCCUUUGGUAUUCCGAAGGGUAUGCCCGUUUGAGUGUCAUUGUAAUCUCACACCCAAGACUUCUUGUCGAGGGAGGUGGACUUGGACGUUUGCUGCGUAACUGCGGCUCGUCUCAAAAGUGUCAGCGCGGCUCUAGAUGAAGCGUUUGAUGCCCAGUGUAAUAAGUAUUUCGCUGUGGUUAGCAUUAGUCUACGAAGCUGUUGUGCUCUCUAAUCGUCUUCGGACUGGACCAGUGAUGGUUCAUUUGACAACUUGGCCUCAAUCGGGUAGGACUACCCGCUGAUCUUAAGCAUAUCAUAAGCGGAGGACAGGAAACUAACACGAUUCCCCUAGUAACGGCGAGUGAAGAAGGAAGAGCUCAAAUUUUGAAUCUGGCGUCUUCGGCGUCCGAGUUGUAAUCUAUAGAGUGUUUACGCGAUCGAACUUG
rnacentral:rRNA from 1 species